GAUGAACGCUGGCGGCGUGCCUAAUACAUGCAAGUCCAGCUAACAGACGAGUAGCUUUCUCCUCUGACGUUAUCGCCGGACGGGUGAGUAACACGUGGAUAACCUACCUAUAAGACUGGGAUAACUUCGGGAAACCGGGGUUAUUACCGGAUAAUUUAUUCAACCGCUUGGUCCAUUAGUGAAAGCCGGUUUUCCUCUCCCUUUUAGUUGGCUCCGCGCCGCAUUAGCUAGUUGGUAAGGUAACGGCUUACCAAGGCAACGAUGCGUAGCCGACGUGAGAGGGUGAUCGGCCACACUGGAACUGAGACACGGUCCAGAAUCCUACGGGAGGCAGCAGUAGGGAAUCUUCCGCAAUGGGCGAAAGCCUGACGGAGCAACGCCGCGUGAGUGAUGAAGGUCUUCGGAUCGUAAAACUCUGUUAUUAGGGAAGAACAAAUGUGUAAGUAACUAUGCACGUCUUGACGGUACCUAAUCAGAGAGCCACGGCUAACUACGUG
rnacentral:rRNA from 1 species